UGUCCAGCAAGACAGAAGUGCGCGACGGAAACUAAAAUUUAUAUCUAGUGGAUGAAGAAAAAUCGUAACCGCGUAAAUUGUACAAAUAUCUCAGUAUCAGUCGUUAGUGAUAGGUUAAAAAGUUAUAGUAUGUAAAAUUGAGAAUUAGUAUGAGAAGUAAACGUGAAAAGUGUGCAAAUGUGCUUAUAUCUAAUAGUACGGUUAGUUGAAAAUUUAUUCUAAUAUGAUCUAGGGUCUUAAAACAAAUUAUAUUCAGAUUCAACUGUACUGAGAAAACACGGUGAAAGGAGUGAUUUUAAUUAUUCGACAUUAGUUGGUUGAAAAAAAGAAUAAUGACGUCACCGGUGCUAAUGCUCGUGCAGGUUCGCUUGUCUGCGGACCUUUUUUCUUUACGAUCGGAACAAGUUCCGAUCUUUCUUCACAGUUUAUAUAACGGGUUACGGCGUGGAGUGAAGUUACCAAAGAAACGCCAGCGAUCGACCGCCAUAACAACCAACUAAGCGUCCAUCGUCGAUUAACGCCAUUUUGGAGCGCGGCUAGUACCGACCGUAGUUUGGCGCCAUUGUGUUAGCAGCACGAGGUCGCCUAGAGAAAACACACAUCGCAAGCCAGAAUUGAUGGUGAUGGGUACAGGGAGUAUCGAAGAGACCACGUUGAACGAAAUUCCAACGGCCCAACUCAACAUACGGUUCUGUGGAAACGAAGGUAGCCGAUUCCUGAAAGUUCGGCUAACAGGCCAACAAGCGACAGGGACAACCACAGACAAGCGGAUGUACCAGGUAUCGGGUGACGUCAGUAGUAAGUAAGAAAAGAUCUUGUGAAUUUAGUUAGUAAGUCAAAAGUUAGACUAGGGCAUUUAGAGGAGGAUGAAAUUAAAGCAGGUGAUUAUUGAACAA